AUUGAACGCUGGCGGCAGGCCUAACACAUGCAAGUCGAGCGGGGGUAGCAAUACCCUAGCGGCGGACGGGUGAGGAAUGCAUCGGAACGUGCCGAGUAGUGGGGGAUAACGCAGGGAAACUUGCGCUAAUACCGCAUACGCCCCGAGGGGGAAAGUGGGGGACCGCAAGGCCUCACGCUAUUUGAGCGGCCGAUGCCCGAUUAGCUAGUUGGUGAGGUAAAGGCUCACCAAGGCGACGAUCGGUAGCUGGUCUGAGAGGAUGAUCAGCCACACUGGAACUGAGACACGGUCCAGACUCCGUACGGGAGGCAGC
rnacentral:rRNA from 1 species